rnacentral:ncRNA from 1 species
AAGGAGUCUAACGUGUGCGCGAGUCAACGGUGAUCUUACGAAAAAUCCACGUUUGGCGCAAUGAAAGUGAACCGUUUACGGUGCGGACGAUGGCCUAGCGACCGAACCCACCGGCGUUCAAAGUCGCGCUGGUCCGCAGUCCGGGGGCGUCUCCGCCAAGUCGGCUUCGGCCGGCUGGGGGCGCACCCUUAGCGCACACGUUGGUACCCGAAAGAUGGUGAACUAUGCCUGGCCAGGAUGAAGUCAGGGGAAACCCUGAUGGAGGUCCGCAGCGAUUCUGACGUGCAAAUCGAUCGUCUGAGCUGGGUAUAGGGGCGAAAGACUAAUCGAACCAUCUAGUAGCUGGUUCCAUCCGAAGUUUCCCUCAGGAUAGCUGGCGCCGAUGUGUCCCGCCCGUUCGCGGGCGUACGGACGCCGGUGGGACUCCGCGCUGUACGGCGCGGUAACAACACGCUCGUAACACGGAGGAUGUCUCAUACGGUAAAGCGAAUGAUUAGAGGACAUUGGGGCCGAAACGACCUCAACCUAUUCUCAAACUAUAAAUGAGUGAGAUCGCCGGCUUUACCUGGUACACCGCGUGAACCGCGUGCGAAGCCGGCGACGGAACCCUAGGCGCUUAGUGGGCCAUUUUUGGUAAGCAGAACUGGCGCUGCGGGAUGAACCGAACGCCGAGUUAAGGCGCCGAAAUCGACGCGUAUUCAGAGACCAUGAAAGGCGUUGGUUGCUGAUGACAGCAGGACGGUGGCCAUGGAAGUCGGAAUCCGCAUAAGGAGUGUGUAACAACUCACCUGCCGAAGCAACUAGCU